UUAUAUUGCAGAUAGGAAACUAUGCUGUAUAUCUGUGUCACUGAAUGAAAGUUUAAGCGUUAUCUAAGAACGCCAGCCACAGAGCCACCCUUAUGGUGGUAUUUUUUUUG
ncrna:unclassified sequences DTF3800-I RNA